GCUGGCGGCGUGCUUCAUACAUGCAAGUCGAACGAGAAAGUACCCUUCGGGGUGCGAGUACAGUGGCGAACGGGUGCGUAACACGUGGGUAAUCUGCCUCGAAGUCUGGGAUAACCUUCCUAACGGGGGGCUAAUACCGGAUGUUUUCUUUGCCUGGCAUCUGGCAAUGAACAAAGAUGGCGCGCUGAGCGCUGUUGCUUUGAGAUGAGCCCGCGGCCUAUUAGCUAGUUGGUGGGGUAACGGCCUACCAAGGCGGCGAUGGGUAGCCGGCCUGAGAGGGUGACCGGCCACAUUGGGACUGAGAUACGGCCCAGACUCCUACGGGAGGCAGCAGUAGGGAAUUUUGCGCAAUGGGCGAAAGCCUGAC
rnacentral:rRNA from 1 species